CACAGUAGUUUUCUGUGAUGACGCAGUCCAGUCAGAGAGAGAGAGAAAGGUGAACAACACUGGAAAAUAGUGUCAGUAUAGGCUAUAAAUUAACGUGCAGACAUCGCUAAAAAUGAAGCACAUUCAAUUUUAAUUUAAGCGAAAAAGAGACUAGGAGAAAGAGGAAUCCGGCAAUGGGGAUUCGCAAGGUUCAACUAAUGAAGCCUCUUCACAAGGUUGACCUGAGGCGGCUAACGUUAGGGAUGCUGAAAACAACAUUAGCGACGCUACCGUGACCCCCGCUGUCACUUCAACGUCCACUGUAGCCGGUGGAGGGAGAACAUAUAGAUUCAAUGCGAAUUGGCUCAAAAUGUUCCCAUGGCUAGAGUUCGAAAACAACGUCACGUUCUGCAAAUAAUGUAGAGGGCAGAAACAGGCGGGAUAGUCUUUCGUGUCAGGAAACCCGCAUCUGAAAAGAGAUAGCGUAGCAAAACAUUACAUCUCGCGGCGGCAUAUCCAGUGCAGAGAUCUAUACCUGUUGAGAGAAACCUUCAGGCACGGUGUCAGCAGCCUUGAGGAGGCAAGUGCUGCUGUCUGAGGAGGAGAAGAGGAGGCAGCUGAAAAUAAAGAUAAACAUCGCAUACUUCAUUGCGAAAGAAGAACAUUUCGUCAAAUUUGAGCCGCUUAUCAGACUCCACCACAAAAACGGAGUUGACAUUAAUCCCACAUACGACAAUGAUGUAAAAUGUGCGGAGAUGAUCGGUCAAAUUGCUGACAUAAUGAAAGAGCGCCUGUCAGCGAAUCUGAAAGCCGCGAAGCAUCUUGACGUUCUAAUAGACGGAGACACUGAUAUAUAUCCAACACCGAAUGUGAGAUUGUCUACGUACGCUUGUUGGAGGAUGGGAAGGAAGCCAGUCAAUCUCCUGGUCGGACAACAGACACUUGAGCACUCUCAUGCCAUUGGUGUUCUGGAUGCCACCAAGGCCACUUUUCGUGCUGUUUGCCCAGAGGAGGAUGGAGGGUCAUGGAUGAAGAAGUGCAUCUCCGUCGGGGCAGAUGGUGCCUCCAUGAACAUGGGCCACCGUGGGGGAGUGAUUGCCCACCUGCAGAGAGAGGCAGGGGGGCAUAUAAUCCCAAUCCACUAUAUGCCACAUACAUUUGUAACUAAUAAAUUCUCUAUGAUUUAGUUUUAUUUGCUAGCAUCGAUUGUUAAACAAUACUGUGUGUCUGUCUGUGUGCUAAGUGCUGGAAUGGUAAAUACCACAGAAUUAUUGUUUUCUGAUGGCACAAGAGACAGGGGGGAAGGAGACGGUGAAUUGUUUGGAAGAUUCUGUUCUGACUUUCACAGACAAGAGCUGGCAAUACUGACCAUUCAGAAGAAAGAGCCAAAGGUGUCUGUCGUGUACGAUCUUCUGAAUCUGAUAUGGAAGACGUAUCAAUCUUCAGCUGAAAAUCCAAACGAGAACUCUUAUGUUCUUGGGCAAGAGCUUGUCGGUGUGGAUAUUUGCACACCGUCUAGCGUCAAGGGAACUCGCUGGAUCCCCCAUGUCCACAGAGCCCUUAGUGUUCCUACAGCAUGGACAAGACAAGGACCUUGCCACUGAUGAAGGCCAGUACUCCGUUGUUCUGCAGCACAUGGAGCACGUGGCCGUAGCAUCAACAACAGAAGUUCAAGGGCGGGCAAAGAUAAAGCGGGAAAUGGAGAAUGCACUCUUUUUGUGUAUUCUGCCAUUUUCUUUCAGACAUGUUUGAGGAGCUAGCCUCACCCUGCAAAGAAAUGACCUGAUCCUCCCCCAAGCCAUGUCAGAGUUGAGGAAGACAGUGACCAGACUGGAAGCACUAAAGCUUAGGGCAAAGGCAGGAGGCAUGCUGGACAAGAUCCAGACCAUGCUUGCUCAUGAUGAGAGGAGAUUCCAGGGAAUAACACUGAAGGGGAAUCUGAAAGGCUUCACGGACCUCACCCCAAUCCCCAGCUGAAGCAGCACAUGGAGGCGGCCAUCAACAUCGGCGUGGAUGAUCUCAAAGCCAGGUUUGGUAGUUUGCUGAAGGAUGAGGGUGUCCAGAACCCAGUGGAGUCUUUCAGAGUGCUAAACCCUGACACCUGGCCAGAAGACCAGGCCAGCCUUCUCACCUUUGGAGAUGAUGGUGUGGCAGACCUGAUGAGGCAUUUCAAGAAGCCUCUAGAGAGGUGAAGGUCGAGAGCCAUGCGUCAUCCGAAACACAACCCAACAAAACCGCACUGCUUCUUCACACAGCGCGCAUCCAACCCGGAUGCAACAUGGCUGCAAUCCAGGAUGAGUGGCAGGAGCUGAAAAUCCUGGUCAGCCACAAUUUUAAGGACAAGUCCUACAGUGGCCUGUUGACAAAGGACCCCUACAGGCACAAUUACAAGAACAUACUGGAGUUGGUGCAGCUUAUGCUGGUGCUGCCCAUUUCACCCGCCCAGUGUGAGCGAGGCUUCUCUGCGCAGAACCGGAUUAAAAAUUCGACAAGAAUCUGCCUUGGGUUCUCCACCGCCGAAGACCUGAUGAGGAUCAGCCUGGAGGGGUCUCCUGUCGAGGAGUUCCAUCCCACUCCUGCCGUGGACCGCUGGCUGACCUCCAAGUGUGCCAGACGGCUGACCUCUAAGCGUGCCAGACGGCCAACAUACAAAAGCAGCUGGACAACUGAUAUCCUUUGCGUCUAGUAGGCAUGGGUCAAUGUGUGAUUUUGGUGGUAUGUGCUGUUCCACAGAUGUGUGUCCCUUAGUACACGCUCACACACGCAGUAUAAAUAUAUAUGUGAUAAAUUGUUUGUUAAUAAACUCUGUUACAUUUUUCACUGUGCUCCUAAAUUUCUUUGUGUGCUCCUACACUUUUUCAUUUAGGAGCGCAUGUACACCUUGGGAAAAAAAGAUAGCGCAGAGCCCUGGGCAGACCACGUGUAUGGUGUCGUGUGGGCGAGUGGUUUUCUGAUGUCAACGCUGUGAACAGAGUGCCCCAUGGUGGUGGGGUUUUGCAUCAUCUCUCACCAGGAAUGGAAGUACCCAGAGCCACAAACACAACGGCAGUGACAGUGUCCCUGAGACCCACAGUGCAGCCGAAGUGGGAGGCUAGGUCCCCGAUGAUAGCAGUCAAGAUGCCGAUAACCGAGAUGGACACGAAGAAGCAGGCCCAGCCAUUCCAGUACUCGGUGGGCGGAACGAAGGCGAACAGAACCUUCCAGAACACCGUCAGGAAGUGCAUGACAUAGUCGUAGCAGGAUGGCAGACGCUCCUCACGCCCCUCUUCAUCAUCGUCAUCACCUGGGAGGGGGGCACAGUAAAACAUAAGAGCCACGUAUACAAACACACUCAUGCACGGACGCACACCAGUGGUGGUUGGUGCCAUUUAAGAUGAGGGAGGACAAUACAUUUUUUUAUGAGCAUGGCCUUAUUAUCUAUUACAGAAUACUGGAUGACUCUCAUUCAUAUUCCAUUCACCCAGCUCAAUGUAACAUCGAUAGGUUUAGGCUACUACAUGAUACUUGAAUUUUCCCUAUACCCAUCUUGAGGUUGCUACAACCUAGCCUAUGAAUGAAAGUUUACAGCGUAGGUGUACAGGUCGUGAGAAAAAUCUAAGUGACUGACAGUGACGCAUUCGGUACCACCUUGCACACUCUUGCCUACAUCUAGCUGAUCUAGGGUGUACUCAUUAGCCCAACAGUUGCAAACGACAGUUUAUAUUGGACAAACUCAGGUGUGUUUAUCCCCGUUUUUUUUACAGAAUCGGAGGAAUGAAUACACCCAUGAUCACACUCAAACACAGUUCACUUUCAUAGCAGCCACAUACAAACAGUAUGAUCACUUUGCUCGUUGUAUAUUCCUUCUCACAUCUACGCACACCUUUUCGAUUCACUUGUGGACUUCAGUGCACAACACAUCAGUUGUCUGUGACCAGGAGAAAAAACCUGCUACAAUCAUGCAGUACAGUGUACAGUCAGCAAGCAGUUUAGCAGUUACACCAGCGAGCCCCGGUGGCAAUAAAUUAAUACAACCAAAAGCUUACCUGGACUUGGAAGAGUUUCAGUGUUGGAUAGCCAUAGCCAGCUAGCUAACAUAGCAUCCUUCUUUGUUUGAGUAGGCAAAACUAGCUUUCUGCAUUUGCAAGUGAAGUAAUUAAAAGUGAGAAAAAUAAAUAAAACGAAAUAGCUAGUUCUUUCUCUUGCUUAUCCUUUAUUUUUGAAUAAAUUAAUUUGUUUAAAACAGUU